ACGUAGGGUGCGAGCGUUAAUCGGAAUUACUGGGCGUAAAGCGUGCGCAGGCGGUUUUGUAAGCCAGAUGUGAAAUCCCCGGGCUUAACCUGGGAAUGGCAUUUGGGACUGCAAGGCUGGAGUGCGGCAGAGGAGACUGGAAUUCCUGGUGUAGCAGUGAAAUGCGUAGAUAUCAGGAGGAACACCAAUAGCGAAGGCAGCUCGCUGGGACGGUACUGACGCUAAGGCGCGAAAGCGUGGGGAGCGAACAGGA
rnacentral:rRNA from 1 species